rnacentral:rRNA from 1 species
GAUCAUCCUACGGGAGGCAGCAGUAGGGAAUAUUGGACAAUGGGCGAAAGCCUGAUCCAGCAAUGCCGCGUGAGUGAUGAAGGCCUUAGGGUUGUAAAGCUCUUUUACCCGGGAUGAUAAUGACAGUACCGGGAGAAUAAGCCCCGGCUAACUCCGUGCCAGAGCCGCGGUAAUGAAAC